rnacentral:lncRNA from 1 species
CUCUCUACUCUCCAUACUCUAAAUUUUUUAGGCAACUGAAAGGGUCUUUGGGUAGAACCUUCAUGCAAUUAUGCUCAUAAUAGAGAGCUUCAUGAUAAGCUAGAUUCAUCGUACAUUGGGGAUGAUUUUGCCUUAUACGAGAAGCAAAAUUUAUUCCUGGAUUAAUAUUUAUGCACACCUCACUCUAAGCAUUCUUCUCCAAUUUUUCUUGUAU